UUCUACCUAGUAAUUGAUCAUCAAUGUUGUCAAAAUACUAUACAAACAUAACAUUAAUACAUAAUACUAAUACAAACACAAUACUGGAAAAUACUACGAUUUCAUACAACGAGAAAGAUAGAGCUACUCGAUCUCAUAAACUCUUUACACACCCAAACAACGUAAUAUCGUAAUAAUUAAUUGACAAUAAAGAAGAUUAGAUUCCAUUGUUAAACGUCGUGUCUAACAAAACGCAUGUACUACGUGACGAACUGAUAUUAGUCAAACGCACAAGAAUUUAGAAAGUAACGGGUCACUUACGAGCCUCAAUUACUCCCAACAUCGAACGAUACGUUUGCAAAACGUUUUAAUAUUUCAAAGUACCGAGGGAAGGUCUCAGCUUAGAAAGUAUACGAUUUUUAUCUCACGGAUGAAUAAUAUCCCGACCAGGGAGCAUCGAUUCACCUGCGGGUGAUAAAACGAAUCAUAAAUUUCUCUUACUUUCACUCUCGUUCGUUUACAUUGUUACGGAUAAUUGAUCGAGUGUAGUUUGCUGAUUAGAACAGAUUACCAGGUAUCCUUGCGAGAUUAACCUAACAAUGAUGAAGCUUCCCUUCAUCAGUUU
rnacentral:misc_RNA from 1 species